rnacentral:lncRNA from 1 species
GGCCGAGGCAGCCGGGAGCAUGCCCAGCCCUGUCAAGGCGGUCCAGAGCGGAGUGGGAAGUGGCGGGAUUCCGUCUCCGUCUGCACCCGCGAUUUAGCCGAGUCCACGGCGCCGCCGCGCGGACCCGAAGCCCGGACGCCGCAAGCCCUCAUGGGCCCGUGAAGUCAGCUCGCGCCCCGCGGGAACCCAGCCCGGGCCCCUGCUGGACCGUGGGGGAACGCGGACUGCACCCCCGAAGCCCGCAGCCUGGCAGCCCACAGGCACGAGAACCCAGCCCGGUGAGCAGCACCGAGAGCCCCCGAGGCCGCCGCGAGAGAAGCGCUUCGUCCACGCCGCUGCUUCAGGGUAAAACACGCAUGCACAUGAAAGAAGAGAGACACCACAAAGCAGGUCAUUUUCACCAGAUGCUGGGAAAAAAUAACUCUCUUGGUAUAGGAAUUAUGAAGUGACAUUUCCAUAACAAAAUUCUCUCAAAGUGACACUAUUUAAGUGAAAGUGAGCAAAACUACAUAACGACAGACUUCUUUAUCACCUGUCUUCAUUGCAAUGAUUUAAAAGCCUAUCCCUUCUCAAUCUCCUAAGGAAUUGGGAACUUGUAAAUCUUCACAUCCCCUCCUGUCUCCCUCAAUACUUGGCCAAGUACCUUGCUCAAAGUAGUUGCUCAAUAAAUAACUUGUUGAAUGGACACAGUAAUUUCAUAUCACAAUUCAUAUGAAUGAGGAUAAAAGAACAAAAUGAAGAGAAUGAUUCAGCUGAGAUGGCCCUAAAAUAGAGGGCUUGGCAGAAUUCAGGAUUUGUAAUGCUAUUAUAGCAUUAUGGAUUUGGUAUAAAAAGAUCAAUGUCAUAAACCGCAUAGUAGUGCCAAGAAAGUAAUUUUACUUUCAAAUUGGAACUUGAAAGAAAAGCAAAUAUCAUCGACAUGAUGAACAAGAUGUUUUUCUUUUGUGAGAGGUACCCUGCCAACCAAUUUAAUGGUAUAAAAGUGAACUACCUGAGACUUGAAGUCAAUAUGUGAUAUGAUAAAAUUAGAAUAAAUUUACCCGGCCUAGCUCCUCAGCUUUUCAAACUCAAAGACAAUGAAACCAAAUCUUUGAACUGACUGGUGAAUAAAGCACUCUGAGAGAACUGCUCCUCUAGAAUAUAAAUGAUAAUAAGAAUUAAAGGAGCUGUAUAAAAGACCAA